GCAUUGCACUCGCCAUGCCGAGUGAUGCGAUUGCGCCGGACGAACACCCCACGGGCGGGAUGAGCAACAUCGGC
ncrna:Delftia acidovorans CCTG 15835 Burkholderiales-2 RNA